rnacentral:rRNA from 1 species
CAGUCCCGCGGGAAUACGUAGGGUCCGAGCGUUGUCCGGAAUUAUUGGGCGUAAAGAGCUCGUAGGCGGUCUGUCGCGUCUGCCGUGAAAUCCUCAGGCUCAACCUGAGGCGUGCGGUGGGUACGGGCAGGCUAGAGUGCGGUAGGGGAGAAUGGAACUCCUGGUGUAGCGGUGGAAUGCGCAGAUAUCAGGAAGAACACCGAUGGCGAAGGCAGUUCUCUGGGCCGUAACUGACGCUGAGGAGCGAAAGCGUGGGGAGCGAACAGGAUUAGAUACCCCGGUAGUCCCUGUCUCUUAUACA